GCCAUGGUGGUUCACUGGUAGAAUGCUCGUCUGCCACGCGGCGACACGGGUUCGAUUCUCGGCCAAUGCA
rnacentral:tRNA from 1 species